GACGUAGGGCGCGAGCGUUGUCCGGAUUUAUUGGGCGUAAAGAGCUCGUAGGCGGCUUGUUGCGUCGACUGUGAAAACCCGCGGCUUAACUGCGGGCUUGCAGUUGAUACGGGCAGGCUAGAGUUCGGUAGGGGAGACUGGAAUUCCUGGUGUAGCGGUGAAAUGCGCAGAUAUCAGGAGGAACACCGGUGGCGAAGGCGGAUCUCUGGGCCUUGCCUGACGCUGAGGCGCGAAAGCUAGGGGAGCGAACAGG
rnacentral:rRNA from 1 species